rnacentral:rRNA from 1 species
UGGGGAAUAUUGGACAAUGGGCGCAAGCCUGAUCCAGCAAUGCCGCGUGUGUGAAGAAGGCCUGCGGGUUGUAAAGCACUUUGAGAUGGAAAGAAGGGCUGGGGGCUAAUAUCCUCUGGCAUUGACGUUACCAUCAGAACAAGCACCGGCUAACUCCGUGCCAGCAGCCGCGGUAAUACGGAGGGUGCGAGCGUUAAUCGGAAUUACUGGGCGUAAAGCGCGCGUAGGCGGUUAGAUAAGUCUGAUGUGAAAGCCCUGGGCUUAACCUGGGAACUGCAUUGGAUACUGUUUAACUAGAGUGUGGGAGAGGGUAGUGGAAUUUCCGGUGUAGCAGUGAAAUGCGUAGAGAUCGGAAGGAACACCAGUGGCGAAGGCGGCUACCUGGACCAACACUGACGCU